rnacentral:rRNA from 1 species
GACGUAGGGGGCGAGCGUUGUCCGGAUUCAUUGGGCGUAAAGAGCGCGUAGGCGGCCCGGAAAGUGGGGUGUGAAACCCGAGGCUCAACCUCGGGCGUGCACUCCAACUCCCGGGCUCGAGGCAGGUAGGGAGAUCGGAAUUCCUGGUGUAGCGGUGAAAUGCGCAGAUAUCAGGAGGAACACCGGUGGCGAAGGCGGAUCUCUGG